UGGGACAAUCUGAGGUGCCAUAAGCCUAUAAUUGGAUUGUUAUACCUCCAAUUGAGGAGUUCGUUUGCUCUUUCAAUGUAUCACUCCUUAUGCAAAUUCGAAUGUGCAGGAGAGGAGAGGAUCUUUUUUAACUGUUGUUUUUAGAAAUCAUGUGUACCAUUUGCUAAACCAUUGUCUAUAGAAAUCCUAAAACAGCUGAAAAGGAAUCAGAUAUGUGCAGUUCAUUUUGCCCCAUGAUUUUGUUGUUUUAGUAUGGGGCUGCUGAGUUUUUACCUUUUUAUUUUUUCGUUUAUUUGUUCUUCAGUUUUGUCAUCCAAUUUUUUCAGGUUGAUAUAUUAUCAUACGGAUCAAUUGAGCAAUGUGCGGAUGUGAAACUACUGCAUAAUCCAUCUUUCUGUGAUUCAAGUAUGCGUUUCAUA